ACCUUCGUGGUGUAGUGGUCAGCAUGCUCGACGCGUAACCGAGAGGUCCGUGGUUCGAUUCCCGGCGAAGGCG
rnacentral:tRNA from 1 species